GCCUUUGAAAGAAGGAGAUGGAGAAAAAAACAGGCUUGGAAGGAACCCUAAAAUGUACAGGGGUGAAGUGAAUGCAUGAACUAUGGUGUGCCAAGCAAGGGGUCACACUGACUGUGCCACAGUUUCUUUUCUACUCAUCCAAAGGGCCAUAAUUGUUGUCAUCCAACUAGAAAUCAGCUGGAUAAUACACCUGGAUCCACUAGCUGGGAAAUGUUCCUAGCCUGAACAGCACAGCUGAAAGAAAG